GACGAACGCUGGCGGCGUGCCUAAUACAUGCAAGUAGGACGCAGUUGCGAACGGGUGAGUAACGCGUAGGUAACUACCUAUUAGAGGGGGAUAACUAUUGGAAACGAUAGCUAAUACCGCAUACUAGUAGAUGGACCUGCGUUGUAUUAGUUAGUAGGUAGGGUAAUGGCCUACCUAGGCAACGAUACAUAGCCGACAUGAGAUGGUGUACGGGCAAACGUGGACUGAGACAAGGCCCAGACUCCGACGGGAGGCAGUAGUAGGGAAUCUUCGGCAAUGGGGGGAACCCUGACCGAGCAACGCCGCGGGAGGGAAGAAGGUUUUCGGAUCGGAAAGCUCUGUUGUUAAGGAAGCGGUACUUAACCAGAAAGGGACGGCUAACUACGUGCCAGCAGCCGCGGUAAUUC
rnacentral:rRNA from 1 species